UCUCUCACAUUGCUCACUUGUGCUUGGCAAGAAUGGAGCCGGCCAUGACAAUUUCGGCCAGCCAUGUUUCUCCUCACUUUCUUCUCUUGCAAGCAUUGCCUCCCAACUACUCCAAUCAAUAAAUGGGCAGCCACCUUCCUUGACCAAUGAAAAAGGAGGCAGCCACCCCUCUCCCUCUAUAAAUACCCCCUUGGCCGGCCACCACCUCCCCCUUUGCUCAUUUUCUUCACUCUCCACUCCCUCACACUCUCCUCCUCUCCUCCACCACGAAAUGCUGCUCCUCCUAGCAACCAUGGCUGGCCAUGGCCAUGGAAACCUCUCCAAGAUGCAACUCCCUCCUUCCUCAAGCUUCCCCUCACCAUGAGAGCUUCCCUCUCCCUCUCUUCUCCCCUAACCCUAGAUGAAUCCAGCUCUAUUUCUCCUUUCUCCUCUCACUAGAUUGGAUCUUGAUGCAGGUGCAUGUUGGUCCAAGCAUGGAGAAGGUUGAGCUAUCCUCAGAUCUGAAGUUCUUGAGCAAAAUCCAAAUCGAGUGAUUCAAAGUUCCGCAGAUAGGUAUUGAAAAGAUCUACAACUUGGCGUUGGUCUCAUCCUCAAAUUCGUUACAGAUUUUGCAUGAUCAAGAUCUUGUCAGAUCUGACUUUGUCGAAUUAAACCUGGAGCUUGGAAACGAAUUUUUGAAUGAAACCAACUGGGGGAUAUUUGGUUGAUACCCUGGUGAUAAACGAGAGAUGCAAUUGCUAAGUUGUGAUGCACUCAUACCUUUACUAGAUGCGAACAAUUCUGGAGAAGAAGAAGAAGUGGAAUCGGACGAGGAUUUUAUUUAUAAAUGUUGUUGGAAUUCUUAUAUUGAUGGAGUUGAAGAAGUACAGGGACAAAUAAGCCAAGGCAAGCCAUCUUUUGAUCUCUGAUUCGGUGUCUAGUUGGAUGCCAUUUGUUGAUA